rnacentral:rRNA from 1 species
UACGGAGGGUGCAAGCGUUAAUCGGAAUUACUGGGCGUAAAGCGUGCGUAGGUGGUUCGUUAAGUCCGUUGUGAAAGCCCCGAGCUCAACUUGGGAAUUGCAGUGGAUACUGGCGAGCUAGAGUGCGGUAGAGGAAGGUGGAAUUCCCGGUGUAGCGGCGAAAUGCGUAGAGAUCGGGAGGAACACCAGUGGCGAAGGCGGCCUUCUGGACCAGCACUGACACUCAAGCACGAAAGCGUGGGGAGCAAACAGG